rnacentral:rRNA from 1 species
GAUGAACGCUGGCGGCGUGCUUAACACAUGCAAGUCGAGCGAAGCACUUAACUUUGAUUCUUUCGGGAUGAAGAGUUCUGUGACUGAGCGGCGGACGGGUGAGUAACGCGUGGGUAACCUGCCUCAUACAGGGGGGAUAACAGUUAGAAAUGGCUGCUAAUACCGCAUAAGACCACAGCACCGCAUGGUGCAGGGGGUAAAAACUCCGGUGGUAUGAGAUGGACCCGCGUCUGAUUAGCUAGUUGGUGGGGUAACGGCCUACCAAGGCGACGAUCAGUAGCCGACCUGAGAGGGUGACCGGCACAUUGGGACUGAGACACGGCCCAAAACUCCUACGGGAGGCAGCAGUGGGGAAUAUUGCACAAUGGGGGAAACCCUGAUGCAGCGACGCCGCGUGAGCGAAGAAGUAUUUCGGUAUGUAAAAGCUCUAUCAGCAGGGAAGAAAAUGACGGUACCUGACUAAGAAGCCCCGGCUAAAUACGUGCCAGCAGCCGACGG